AGUUGACAAAGAGAAUUUCAGGAAUGGGACUAAAGCUUCUGUUAGCACAUUGAGAUGGCGACAAGUACAUCCAAAAAACACUACAAGAAUUGGAAAACCAUAUGUUUAAUUCUAGGUUCAAAUUAUGGACAAUCUGGAGAAGAAAGACGUUCACACUGGUUUUCUUAAAUGCAGGAGGCCUAAUGAGAUGAGCUAAGGUGAAGAGAUAACAGCACUGAAGUCUGGCUUCAUACCAAAAGAGGAUCAGCAAGGCAUUGGGAGGCGACUCCCUGCUGUUAAUGCAGUGAGAGAGAAGCAGAGGAGCAGCCAGACGAGCAAAGACAGCCGGCACCUCACACUGGCUUUGGGUUUGUCCUCUGGAUUAUCCUGCGUUCCUUGGUCUGCACGGCUCUGGUCUCCUGCUCACUCCCCAACCUCCGACCAGCACUUGGAACUUUCUGGGCUGUAACCUCAACAUCUCGUUGGCAGCCUACCACCUAAAACCUACCUUAUCCUCUGGGCUUGGACUGAACUAUAAGACCAGGUUAGUGACUCACACAUUCAUCAUCAUCCUCUGCCAUUUAGACAUGGUUACUGACCUGGUCUUCUAGUCCAGUCCGAGUUAGUGACUCACAAGUUCAUUAUCAUAAUUCGCUAUAUUGACAUGGUCACUAACCUGUGCUCUCCUGCAGAGGUUCCUGCCUUAGAUGCCAACGCUGUUCUCUUCAGUUUCGUCUUAAAUAAACGAUUUGUUAAAUGUGUCUUUCCACCUCGGAUACUGGGUCCUUUUGUUCUGAGCUUUACAGCACGGUUUAUUUUGGUUACUCUAUUUUGGUUUUGGUUACAAUGGAUGUUAAGCAGUUUUUUUAAAUGGCUGCGUCGUGUGCUUUUACAAGGGACCAACUACUAUGAAACAAACCCUGUACAACUUGAUUGACUAUGAGAAUUGUUUUCAGCGCAGAUUGUAAACAACAGGUUGUUUUGCCCGAGAGAGGCUGCAGGCAGUUUAAAGCAUGAUUAAGUCCAAAGGCAAGGUGGUGAAGGGACUUGAAUGUCAACAUGAGAACUUUAUACCAGCCUAACAUCACACCACUGCAACAGCGCAGCUGUAGAGGUAUUCAGCAGCACCAAAUCCCUGGGGGUGCACAUGACAGACAAUGUCACUUGACUAUAAACACCUCACUGAUCGAAAGGGUACAAAAGCGCUUGUAAUUGCUGCGGAGGAUGAGGAAAGCCCACCUGCCCCCAUUCAUCCUCAUGACCUUCUACAGAAGCACGAUAGAGAGCAUUCUCACAGUGUGGUGUGAAGGCUGCAACACCUCAGACUGGAAGAUUGUGAAGAGAGUGGUGAAAACAGCAGAGAGGAUCAUCGGCGCUCAACUCCCCUCCGUAAAAGACAUUUCAUCCCAGUGCUGCAUGUCCCGAGCCCGUAUCAUCAUCAGCGACCCCACACACCCCCAGCAUGGUCCGUUCUCCAUGCUGCCCUCUGGGAAGAGUUUUUGCAGCAUUCAAUGCAGGACCAGCAGGUUCUAUAACAGCUUUUUCCCCAUUUCCAUAAGACUGUUGAACUUUUGAAAACUCUAAUCAAAGUCACAAAACGGGACUCUUGAUCACACUGUAAACAUUAUACAUGCACUACAUAGUGAAUAUACAAAAUAGAAAAUAGGGGGGAGCCUGGCCUUUGAAACAGACUGGGUAGGGAUUACGUUCUUUAGCCCUGCCCUGUCAUGCUUGCACUGAUCUGUGGUGCAAAUCAUCACAGCUAGAUUGCCAGCAACUGUGGUUGUCUGCUGCUGCCCGUCAGAUUUACUUGUCCCAUCUCCUUUGCUUUACUGGACUUGACUCGCACAUUUCAGUCUCUGCACUUGUUGAAUUUAAUGUCUUAUAAAUAUUGGCACUAAACAAUGCCUGUCUCUUGACUUCUGUCACCUCUAGGAGCCAGUACUGACAAUGAGCAGGAGCAACACUUGCAAAAAGGCUUUUAUUUUACUCAACCAGAACACUUCUGAUCUCCUGCCUGUUCUCCGACCUCUGGGACAUCAGCGCCUGGGACUCUCUGGGCGGUACCCGCAUCUUGUUGGCAGUCGACCAGCUGAAACCAGCCUCAUCCUCUAGGCACGGACGGACCUAUAAGAACAGGUUAGUGACUCACACGUUUAUUAUCAUCCUCCGCCAGAUAGACAUGGUCAAUAACCUGUGUUUUCCUGCAGCAGCGGUUCCUGCCUUAGAUCCCCACUGUGUUCACUGCAGCUCCUUUUUUAAUAAACAUUUUGAGAAAUCCAACUGUCUGUCUGCCUGGAUUACUGGGUCCAAUCUUUCUGAGCGUGACAUAUGUAUAAUUUAUGCAUUUUGUAUAUUUAUUUCACUAUGUAUCUUUCCCGGUCUCAUUAAAGCUAUUGGACACAGAUCCGAUUUGAUAUUAGAUCCUGAACUACAACAUUUUGCUUCUUGCUGAAUCUUUUUGGCAAAAAAAAAUGCUUAAUGUCAUAUAGCAGAAAUAAGGUUUUAUGCUUUUGCUGUAAGUCUCUUUCAUUUUCUUGUUUGCUGCGUGCAUGCGAGCUACAGUAUGUGUAUGCUUGUUUGUGCAAGUGUGUACGUUUCCAUGUACGAGCACAUGUCUGCAGGGCAGCUGUGUCCUCAAUAUGUGGAGACCUGACCCAGCUGUCACAAAGCAUACUGUGUGAGGUCUCUGAAAGCAAGGAAAUGAAAUGCAUGUUCUUCACUCCACAGGAAGUGGCAAAGAAAUAUCAGUAGUUUUAUUAACAAAUGAGUUGAAUGUGAACACAUAUCACAUUUAAUAUCUCACAGAAAAAAUGCUUCUUUUUAAUUUUAUGCACAAAGGGGCACAAAGUAGCUACUCUGGAUGUAAGAAAACGUGAUUUUUAUGAAAUAUCUUGUACAUCCACAUAAGAAUUUUCAGAAUAACUGUAUUGUAUUGAUGCACGGAGGAAUAUUUGGAAGGCCACAGUGAAUCUGUGAAAGAGAUGCUCUGUUUGAGGAAGGACAUUUAUUUCACUAUAUUAAGAAAGGCAAGUUUACUUUAAAGCACAUUUCAGUAGUAAGACUAUUCAAAGAGCUGUAUGUGAAAAAAUUACUAGAAACAAUCAAAAUGAAAAAUAUUUUGCAGAGUCAUAUAGGCAAUUAAGUAGUUAAUGAGUAUAAUUGAUUUAAGAGAAUAAAAAUUAAUCAGAAGGAUUAUAAGAUAUAAAAAGAUAUAAAAUGAUUGAUAAUAGAAUUGAAAUAAAGCUUCAGCACUUUUUAUCGUUUUUUGAGAGUUUAUGUAGUAUAAGAUUAUUAGAGCAUAACCUGCUUCUCCAUGCUUGGUUCUGGUUUUGAGACUACAAAGUAUAUUUGAGUCAGAAGACUUGUGAAGUAUCAAACUACUGAAGGCAUUAUGUGACAGCGGCGCUGGAUGCACUCAUUAAGCAUUAGUCUGGCAGGUUACUU